rnacentral:rRNA from 1 species
AAAUUGAAGAGUUUGAUCAUGGCUCAGAUUGAACGCUGGCGGCAGGCCUAACACAUGCAAGUCGAACGGUAACAGGAAGCAGCUUGCUGCUUCGCUGACGAGUGGCGGACGGGUGAGUAAUGUCUGGGAAACUGCCUGAUGGAGGGGGAUAACUACUGGAAACGGUGGCUAAUACCGCAUAACGUCGCAAGACCAAAGAGGGGGACCUUCGGGCCUCUUGCCAUCAGAUGUGCCCAGAUGGGAUUAGCUUGUUGGUGAGGUAACGGCUCACCAAGGCGACGAUCCCUAGCUGGUCUGAGAGGAUGACCAGCCACACUGGAACUGAGACACGGUCCAGACUCCUACGGGAGGCAGCAGUGGGGAAUAUUGCACAAUGGGCGCAAGCCUGAUGCAGCCAUGCCGCGUGUAUGAAGAAGGCCUUCGGGUUGUAAAGUACUUUCAGCGGGGAGGAAGGUGUUGUGGUUAAUAACCGCAGCAAUUGACGUUACCCGCAGAAGAAGCACCGGCUAACUCCGUGCCAGCAGCCGCGGUAAUACGGAGGGUGCAAGCGUUAAUCGGAAUUACUGGGCGUAAAGCGCACGCAGGCGGUCUGUCAAGUCGGAUGUGAAAUCCCCGGGCUCAACCUGGGAACUGCAUUCGAAACUGGCAGGCUUGAGUCUUGUAGAGGGGGGUAGAAUUCCAGGUGUAGCGGUGAAAUGCGUAGAGAUCUGGAGGAAUACCGGUGGCGAAGGCGGCCCCCUGGACAAAGACUGACGCUCAGGUGCGAAAGCGUGGGGAGCAAACAGGAUUAGAUACCCUGGUAGUCCACGCCGUAAACGAUGUCUACUUGGAGGUUGUGCCCUUGAGGCGUGGCUUCCGGAGCUAACGCGUUAAGUAGACCGCCUGGGGAGUACGGCCGCAAGGUUAAAACUCAAAUGAAUUGACGGGGGCCCGCACAAGCGGUGGAGCAUGUGGUUUAAUUCGAUGCAACGCGAAGAACCUUACCUGGUCUUGACAUCCACAGAACUUUCCAGAGAUGGAUUGGUGCCUUCGGGAACUGUGAGACAGGUGCUGCAUGGCUGUCGUCAGCUCGUGUUGUGAAAUGUUGGGUUAAGUCCCGCAACGAGCGCAACCCUUAUCCUUUGUUGCCAGCGGUUAGGCCGGGAACUCAAAGGAGACUGCCAGUGAUAAACUGGAGGAAGGUGGGGAUGACGUCAAGUCAUCAUGGCCCUUACGACCAGGGCUACACACGUGCUACAAUGGCGCAUACAAAGAGAAGCGACCUCGCGAGAGCAAGCGGACCUCAUAAAGUGCGUCGUAGUCCGGAUUGGAGUCUGCAACUCGACUCCAUGAAGUCGGAAUCGCUAGUAAUCGUGGAUCAGAAUGCCACGGUGAAUACGUUCCCGGGCCUUGUACACACCGCCCGUCACACCAUGGGAGUGGGUUGCAAAAGAAGUAGGUAGCUUAACCUUCGGGAGGGCGCUUACCACUUUGUGAUUCAUGACUGGGGUGAAGUCGUAACAAGGUAACCGUAGGGGAACCUGCGGUUGGAUCACCUCCUUACCUGAAAGAA